UACGUAGGGGGCAAGCGUUGUCCGGAAUUACUGGGCGUAAAGGGCUCGUAGGUGGCCAACUAAGUCAGACGUGAAAUCCCUCGGCUUAACCGGGGAACUGCGUCUGAUACUGGAUGGCUUGAGUUCGGGAGAGGGAUGCGGAAUUCCAGGUGUAGCGGUGAAAUGCGUAGAUAUCUGGAGGAACACCGGUGGCGAAGGCGGCAUCCUGGACCGACACUGACACUGAGGAGCGAAAGCCAGGGGAGCGAACGGG
rnacentral:rRNA from 1 species